CAAGGGCCUUUUCUGCAUAUUGAUACCCUCAUGGAAGGAGGGAAGGAGAGCCACAGUCCUGUGGAAAACUUGGCCUAUUUGUAUAACAUCCUGCUACUGGAGGGCCAGAAUUCAUGGGUGGAGAGGGAUUGGUAGCCGACUUCCCGUGACUGACCAGCCUCUCAUUAGCUCUGCCUGACUGCAGACCCUCCAGCCCUGACAAGUCCUCCAGCAGCUCGUUGGCCUGAGCACCCACUCCUGCCUCUGCUAAG
rnacentral:lncRNA from 1 species